ACCAUGACCGUGACCAAAUAUAAGACACAAUAAACAGUUCACCUCUAGAAGUAAUAUUCCUGAAGAGGUGGAUAUUGUUUAAAUAUACAUUAGGUUAAACCACAAGCCUAGAUAAGCUUCUGAUUGUCCAACGUCAGAGAAGUCAGAAUAAAGUUGAAGCUAAAAACCUGUUCUGCUAAAUUCCAGGUCAUACUCACCAGGACACUUUUUCUCAGGAGCCCAGUGAAAAGGGGAGAUGCUAUAAAAUAUGUACCUAACAAAGCUUGUCAGCAGCUUGAAUGGAGCAAACCAGUCCAGAUCUGAGAAUUCUAGGAAAUAAAUGAAGUUGAACAUUUACUGCCAACAACCAUGUCACUGGGGCCACAGACAACUGGAGCCGCACAGCUGGGGAGGGGAGGAGUCUGUAGCCAGAGAAGGCAGUGGAACGCACCCAGGUUGGAUUAUUUAUGGUGUGCUGAUGAAGAGGCAACUUUCCAUAUGAGGAACAGCUUAACAGAGGAAUAGUCAAGUUAAACUAGGAAGAGGUCCAGUGAGAGAGAGAGAGAGCAACAAAAGCGGACGUGAAUAAAAAUGACAGCCACUGGACCCUAGGGCUCUGUGCUGAACCUCUGUUCACAGGCACAGUUCCUGCCCUCAUGAGGCUCAUUAUCUAGUGUGAGAGAUGGACAAGUCCACCCUCAGCUUCUGGACAGCAAGGUGCGGUGCCUCACGCCUGUAAUCCCAGCACUUUGGAAGGCCAAGACAGGAAGAUCAUGAGGUCAGGAGUUCGAGACCAGCCUGCCCAACAUGGUGAAACCCCAUCUCUACUAAAAAAAAAAAAAAAAAAAAAAUAGCCAGGUGUGGUGGCGCAUGCCUGUAAUCCCAGCUGCUCGGGAGGCUGAGGCAGGAGAAUUGCUUGAACCCGGGAAGCGGAGGUUGCAGUGAGCCAAGAUCAUGCCACUGCACUCCAGCCUGGAUGACAGAGCAAGACUCCAACUCGAAAAAAAUAUAUAAAAUAAAAAUAAAAUGCAUUUCCUGCAAAAAUGCCAACUUCUGUGGUUCCUAGUAGUUUCCAUCCUUGAAUUCGGCACUUAAGAUCUGUCUACUCAAGCUUUUUACAAUCUUUUAUAUGGUACAAAAUACCUCUUCUCCCAAGUCUGGCCAAAAGCCUAAUAAAUACCAGCCACCAGUUAUCACAUGGCCCACAGGUGCCAGGCAUUUCGUGUGUGUCUCUUUUACUCUUCACAACAGUGCCUUGACAUAGGAUUGUCACCCCCAUUUCACAGAGGAGAGAAUGGAGCCUAAGAGGGGACACUCUCUCGAGGCCACACACAGUAAGUAUUGGAGCACUUUGUUGC
rnacentral:lncRNA from 10 species